rnacentral:pre_miRNA from 1 species
AGGAGAAACAACCACAGUGGCAGCGGCCAGCUCUGGAACCCUGGAGUCAGCUCCUGCAGUAACUACAGAGCUUUCAAACUGCAGAGGCCUGGAUGCUCUGGGGGCGG